rnacentral:lncRNA from 1 species
AUCCUUGGAGAGGCCCGGGCAAGGCAAGCGCAUCAUUCCGCACGCCUCGCACCCAGCCUUUGCUCGGCGAUGCGCCUCAGCCCUGGCCCGGGUACCCCGAACCCUGGGGUCUUUCUGGAUAUUGCCCUGCCUCGAGCCCAGAUGCUGGAAUCCUAAUACAGAACCCAGAACCCAUCUCUCCGUCCAAAUCAAUGAUCAGCGGCCCCCCAGAGCUAAUGUUCCUGGGCGGGGCUCGGAGAAGGCAGCUUCGCAGGCAGAACGCGCGCUCCUCGCUGCCCCAGGCGCCGCUGGUACGAACCCUCCCCUACCCAGGGCUCAUCCACAGCCUGGCACAUCGGUCCGCGACUCUGGGGCUGCCUCCGGGAACCUGGGCCGCGCCUGCCGGUUAGAAACCCGGGGUUAAGAAAAAAGCCAAGGUUCCUCCAUCCCGGGCCAGGCAGGGCUGCUCUCCCGGUCCUGCCUGCCUGCUGGCUUUCCCUUCCUCCUCCUUUGCGCCUGUUUUUCCCCCUCCUUCGCAGUCUCGUCCUUGUUCUUCCCUCUCUUAAGUCGCUUUUCCUCAAUCACACCGGGCCAACACCCUCCCCACCGCACGCCCCCCAAGACAGCCUGGGAUUCAAAAUGCAGUUGGAACACGGAUCACUUGAAAGAAAGCUCUUCAGGGGAAAGAAUUGGAAUGAAAUGAAAAGAAAGGGUGGAGGAGAGAGAGAGACCCCACCCGGAUAGUCCAGAACAAGCAGUAACAAAGCAAAGUCCGAGGGAGCUUCACGCUCAACCCCCGGCCAGGCUCCAGAGCUGAAGUUCUCCUAACUCGUCCCAAGAAUAGGUAAAAGAAACCAAGCUAGGGGCCGUGCCCUGCCCCCAUCCUGUGGGCCGGGUUGGGGGAGGGGGGGUUCUCCAGCGGCCAGAAGCUCACUGGCUCUACCCGGGACCCUGAGCUGCCUAGGGCUGGGGGAGGCGUCCGAGCAGUCGCGGAGCCUGCCAGACCCUCGGCUAGAAUGGGGACCCGCUGUCCAGCCGAGGCUGGCGGAGGCGCACCGGGGGCGCAGAGGGCGAUGCUAGUAGUCUGGACCCAAAGGACUGCAGGAAGGAGACCGUGAGGAAGCGUCUGUGCCUGGGAAGCCCCAGCUCCUGCUUGGGCCAGGCAGCCAGCACCUACCUGAUCCCGGGGAACCGGAGUCCGGCGGCGGCAGGUGAGCUGUAGACGCUGCUGUGCAUGAUUAUCCCAUAGACCAGCAGGGCCAGCCUCGCUCCGCUACACAUGGUCAUUCUGCGCAGGAUGGGAAAGAGGACACACAGCUGUGAGAACGCCCCUGGCCUCCCACCCUCCAACCCCAAAAAGCUCUGGAAGCCGGGGGAGGGACGGAGCGAAGCCCCGGCUCCCUGAGUUGAACAGCACUUGGCGACAGCCGGUGCGCGCCCUGCCACUUCUUGCUUGCUAUAGUUAGAAAAAAAUAUAUAUAUAUGCAUCUACCCGGCGCCCAAUAACUAGCCAGACCCGGCUGAAGGAAAGCUAACUCCCCUGACGCGAUGCCAAGCGAAAGAAUCAGCAGUCGAGUGAGCCGGUCGCUUUGGUAAGAUUUUCCCUCCCUUACCCUUCAACUCCUCCCGCUGCCAGGAGAGCUGCCAGGUAGGACGGCGGGCAAAGCGCUUCUUCAAGUUCCUGCGCUGGAGUCACCACCCGAGAGGCAUCGCCGUCUGGCGUUGGUGUCUGAGCAGAAGCCGCAGGAACCAGCGGGAGCAGCAGGAGGAGCUGCGGGACUCGUUUGCCGAGUCACGUAAUGAUCGGGUAUCAGAAAAAGACGUCAGCAUCCUAGUCCCUCAAGGAACAUAUUAACUAUUCUGUGCUGUCCUCUUGGAUGAUAAGAUCCGGAGUCAUCGACUUCUCAUAAACACCUUUCACUCAUACAAUCCAAUUUUUAAGAAGUCCAAUUGUUUUGAUGGUUUUCAAUUUCACCCGUUUCUCAAGGACAGCCUCACCAAUCAGAGCUCUGGUCUCUGGAAUUAAGCAUCAUCAAGCUCUCCUAUUAAUAAAUUUAAUUUAGAUCUCCUAA